AUCAGAGUAUUAUAGCCCAUAAUCUGCACGGCAGCCCCUGCACCGCUCUACACUGAGCUGAUGGGAGAGAAGAGGGAACGGGGAGGGAAAGGGAAAGAGACAGAGAGAGCGCAAGGGAGGGAGAUAGGGCAGAGAGAGGCAAGAUUAAGAAUGGCUGCUGAUUCAUUCAUCAUUUCCACUCAUGCAGCUCCUCAACCCAUUCAGAUCCUCCGUCGGCCGGCGGGCAGCAAGAUCAUCCUGUUACGUGAACGAGGGAACAAAUGAACGCGAGCUUUAAUUGUCUGGAGCCUGGCAUUGUUGUGGCCAAGGGGCUUUCACUCAGAUGGAACCAGGUUUCAGCUGCUGUGCAAUGUUGACGUCCUUUCUCCCAGAGAUGUGAAGCAUCCCCCAGACUGGGCACAACCCAGCAAACAUAUAUUUUUGAGAAGAUCAGGACUUUUGCAAUGAAAAAGCCAUGGACAUUGCAUGUCCUGCUCCAAAGGGCAGGACAGACAUAUGCUCUCAGGCUAGAUUCCUUUGUUCAUAUCGUAACAUGACCUGAACCAAAGUUACUCAAAGGAUCUUAUGAUAUAGGCCUAGGUCUAGAUAUUGUUUUCACCUUUAUUUGUUUGUGUGUUUGAAGUUUUUUUCCUAAUUGUAGGCUACUACCUGAAGUUAAUAAAGUAUUUUAUUGUUGAA